UACGUAGGGUGCGAGCGUUGUCCGGAAUUACUGGGCGUAAAGAGCUCGUAGGUGGUUCGUCGCGUUGUUCGUGAAAACUCACAGCUUAACUGUGGGCGUGCGGGCGAUACGGGCAGACUGGAGUACUGCAGGGGAGACUGGAAUUCCUGGUGUAGCGGUGGAAUGCGCAGAUAUCAGGAGGAACACCGGUGGCGAAGGCGGGUCUCUGGGCAGUAACUGACGCUGAGGAGCGAAAGCGUGGGGAGCGAACAGG
rnacentral:rRNA from 1 species